rnacentral:snRNA from 1 species
UUUUUGGUAGCCGGGAAUGGCGUUCGCGCCGUCCCGA